ensembl:lncRNA
UUAUUAUUAUUAUUAUUAUUUUAUUUUGUGACUGAAAGAUUUUAUUUAGCAUGUUAUGCGUUAUGAUUGUUUUUUUAUUUAAAGCAUUAGCACACAUGUGUUGGCUAAUUCGUUGUGAAUUGUAUUGACCAUUUUGUGGUCAUAGCAAGAAGGCUGCUUGUGAGUGUGUUGCAGUUUUAUGUUUUAUAGUGUUAGUUAUAGAUUUUAGUCUACAUUGUUGUAACCUUUAGAGAAAAGGAUUGACCCGAGACAAAUGAGUAAAUUCCGAGCUGCUCAUUGGCUGAUUGUGAAUGGGAAUAUUUAGGCUAUUAUUAGGAGUUUACACACCGCAGUUACACACCUCACAUCUCCCACAUUUUCAUAUCUAUAUAUAUUUAUCUACGGGGUUUUUUUUUCUGUAGGCUAAUAAUAUUCAUCUUUUGCAUUAUGUUUAACAGAAUGCAAUCAUAUAGCCUACAAGAACUCAGAAUGUUAUACGAUACUCAGAUUAGUAAACCGAAGGCCUGAGGCCCUUUAUUAUGGAGAUAAAAUAUGAAGGUCUUCAGGGAAACGUUUUAUUUAGUUACGAAUAAGGGAGUAAAAGGUUUCAAGGCCUACUGUACCGGAGAGAGCCACACACACACACACACACACACGCACGCACACACACACCUGGCUGUACUACAUUAAGGCCAGCGUUUAAACGUGUGAAAGCUGUGUGUUAAUACUGGUGGGUGUAUACUGUAAUAUCUAGCUUUGUGAAGAGCAUUGUUUAUACCCAUGUGCGCAUAUGCUGUGUGAGAGAACGUGCGCUGUGUGUACGUAUAUAGGCUGUGUGUGUGCGUGCUUUCUUGCGCGCGUGCAUGUGUGCUUGUGUGUGUGUGUGUGUGUCGGCGCUGCACGCGAACGAACGCGACAGCUCCAUGUGACCACAACAGAAGCUGCAUAUCCGGCACGCGGCGGUGCCUUUAAGAGCCAUGGAUUAGUUUUUCUCUUUGGUUAUCUAGCUGUAUGAGUUUUAUGCGAUAUCAUAAAGCUAGAGAACCGAAUGUAGAAACUAAUUCCCACCACUUCGGGCCGAAUCGAUGAUUCGGAUGCUCUUGGAAUCGGGUGGAAAAGAAGGGGAAGGAAACCGGAGAACGAGGCGCGGAGCUCCGGGAAUGUGCACGAGAGAAACAGCGCUGCUCGCUAAAGCAGCAUCGCGGAGGAGACGAUGUGGAGCACGGCCUGAGAUGCUGAAAGUCAAGGCCAAAAACACAAAGCAAGAGUACAGCGUUUGGGAGUUAUGAGUGUUGUUCAGAGCCGCUCCCUGGAUGGUGUGUUUCAGAUCUGUAGCCCUGACCCAGUGCAGGAUGAAAACCAUGACGUCAAUGAUAUUUUACUGUCAAUGACUGCUUAAAGAAUUUAGCUUUUGCCCCUUUAAUACUGGUGAGUAUUUCAAUAAGGUAAGUUUCUGAUCAUAAUUUAACAGCAUAAAUAAAAAAAAUGCUGUGAUACUGCAUUCAUAUAAACUUUUCUGUUUGUUUGUUUGUUUGUUUAUUGGCACCUAGAGUAUAAAAAUAAACUUUGGGUUGCAGGUUUCUCAUCUAAAAAAUGUUUUUCGCUCUUUUUUUUUUUUUUUUACUAUAUUGUAACAUUUUUUUCAGUUGCAACAAGUACAUUUUUCCCAUUGGUAUGGUUUUGAUUGUAUCUAACCUGUAUGAUGUAUAGCACACUAUGGAAAUCUGAAACAUUUAUACACUUAAUAGAGUACUAUACAGCUACAGAUGACGAUAUCAUUUGCAGGCAUAUUUGCAUUUUUAAGAACAAACAUACAAGACGAAAAAGCACAACCUGCUCGUACAAAGCAUGAUAUCCUUAUAGCCAUACGUUAAUUAUAGCAUAAUCUCUGAUAUUUCUUGAAGCUGUAUACUAUUGUAUGAAUACUGUAAUAAUAAAUGAAUUAUGCAGAAUGAAUGAACAAUAAAAGUGAAACCUGAAUUUUUUCUGUGUUGUGUGUGUUUUUUAACUUACGUUUGUCCAAUACAAUAUAAAACUGUUUCUCAUUAUUAUUGACGGGGAUACAUAAAUAAAUGUUUAUUUCCAUGGGUAAACAAAUUAAUAUACACUACCGAUGAAAAGUUUAGACACACUCAUUCUUUAUUUUAAUUUGAAUUUUUCCACAUUUUAAAAUAAUAAUAAAGUCAUCAAAACUCUGGAGUAACACAAAUAGGAACUAUGGGAAUUAUGUUGUGAUAAAAAUAGAAUAAAUACAAAUAAUUUAAUAUUUGAGCAUCUUUAAAGAUGCCCUUUUUGCCUAGAAUCUCCAGAAAUGUAUUCUUGGCAUUUUCUCAACCGAUUUCUUGAGGAAUUUCCCAGAGAUGCGUUUUAACCAGUAUUAAAGGAGUUCACACCUACGCUGGACACUUAUUGGCUGCUUUCCGGAAUAUUUCGCUCCAAGUCAUCCAUUUAAACAAAAUAUAAUUUGUAAAUAAAAUGUUAGUUUUCUAAUGAAAGAAAUUAAUAUGUUGGCACAAUUAUAAUGUUGUCUACAACACCGAUUUCAAACAUUUAAUCAUACCUUCCGAUCAAAAGGUUUGUAAGCUCAUGAGAAACAUUUAAGUCAAGUGUCUUGAAACUUUUGACUUGUAGUGUAUUUUGCUUAAUUAAUGAUUUUGAUGUUUGUGUCUGUUUCUGCAUAACAUUACAGGCUCAUUAAUAUACAAAUGCAUUCAAAAGACAUUAUUAAGAUUUCAGUGCAUUUUUAAAGGAGAUUUUAAAAUGUUUUAUUUUAUGUGAAAUGUUUUGUCCUGUUUGAAAUUUUUACGAAUUAGAAAAUAUAUAUUUAUGCAUAAACCUAUGUAGGUUUGAUGACGUUUUGUGUAUAGAUGAAUCGUAUAAAAGAAAAUCAUAAUGCACUAAAGGACUGAUGUGCACCAAGUGUAAUGUUUUUUAAAUAAAGAGUUCUCAAGCUGACACAUUUGUACAAAGUAGCUGGACAUGAAGAUACACACACACAUACACACACACACACACACACACACACACACACACACACACACACACACACACACCCCCUUCUGACCUGUUUCAGUGGCAAUCGUGCUUUCUACGGUGUUUCCUCUACAGAAGCUGCCUCGGUGCCCUGCAGCACACACUCCAAUGCUCACACUCAAACCUGCCCCUUGUGUCCAAACCCCCCCACAUCCACUCUCAACCUGUGUCUCGCUAACACAUCCUGACCCAGGAGCGUGGCUCUGGCCUGAAAACAUGGAGCAGGAGAGAUUAUCCUCCGCGGGCCUGGGUCAGUGGAGAGUGGAGGGGAGUUUGGGCCACCCACGGAGCGUCCAGUGGGCCGUGAGAUGGCCUGAUACACGUGCUUACCAAGCAUGGGAGAUUCUCUUACUCUCAGCAGCAUAAAGCCACACAGCACUGGCCUUUUCUUCAUCAUGGCCCGGGAGAUUAGGGCUGAAACACUCAGCCCACAAUCACACACGCACACACACACCCCUCCCCUAGGUUAUCCUUUGCACAGAUAUGGAGCGCUGAACAGAUCAGUCUGGACACAUCUUUCACUAUUCUUUAGUAAUUCUGCCACAUGGUUUUACUGUCUGCUAGAAGGAAGGGAGGGGCAGGUGAGAAUGUCUCACAUAUUAGCACCAUACUAUUAGCAAGGCUAGCUCACAGUGGUAAUGUCAGGCAACAGAAAGAAGUAUCAUCAUGAUAAUUUGAACCUAUUUUGAAGCUUUUUUUUUCCCCAUUGAUGCAUCUGUAGAAACCUUUUUCUGCUGAUGAACCCCAAAUAAGAAUCACAAGCUCACCAAAAAUGACUAAUGAUAACAUCACAAAGUUUGCCCCCCCCCCCCCCCCCAUAAGAGCAUUUCUUCUUCUCUUAAUAAUUAUAAUCACACAAUUAUUAUGUUAGACAAUUAUUUUAUCAUGACAUAUUCCUUAAAUGCAUAUUUGUGAGAUCCCAGACAUGGUUUAAACUGGAUAAUAUGUCACAUAACCUGACAUCUAGAGGUACAAUUCUUUCAUUUAAGCACGUUAUGAGAGAAAAUAACAAGAAGAAGUGUGUAAUAUUAGAGUGGGGUUAUAUAAUAGUGUCUGAACAUUAAGCUUAUGAAAUCAAUUUGUUCCUGUUUAUUCAGUCUAAAAUUUUGACUUAAAUAUAUAUCAAUAAAAUGCAAUAAAUAAAGUUUCAUGGUUGCACUUACAGAAAUGCAGUUGUUUAAAGAGAAGGUAAAUUUCCAUCUCUGCUGAAAAUGCACUGAUGACUUAAUAUAGCAACAAUAAAGCAGAUAAAAUGUUUAUUUUUAAAACAUAAUGAAAAUCAAAAAUAUUGGCAUUAUAUCUUGCCAUUUUUACAAUUGUCUCAUAUUCACAAAUGAUAGACUGACCAGCAGGAUAAACAUUUUCUUGUUUAUUUUCCUGGGUGAUGUAGACAUUCAAAUGAAUAGAAAAUAUUGUUGACCAUCUUGAGGACAUUAUUCAUGACGGGUUUUCAUUCUGGAGAGAAAGAAAUGGCUAAGGGCAAAUUGUUGUUUUUGGACUUUUUGCACCAUGAAGUCAAAAUGUAACAUGAAUAUGAUUUUAAACAUAUCCAUGAAAUUAUGAAGCAUUAAUCCCACAGUGUAUUUGAAAAAAGAAAGAAAGAAAAAAAAAGGUCACUGGAUAUAUUAUAGUGGUCUGAAACAGAAAGUUUUACAUAUUUAAGAAGUUUGAUUAUCUGAAGCAUUAUGCUAAUGUUUCAUUCAUUAUUGAAGUCUAAAGAUGACAGGUGUAGAUAUAAACAUAGUCUAUUUUUUUUAACUUAAAUAAUUCUAGAAAUAAAAAAAAUGAAGUUCAAAUGUGUGUGAUUUUGAUAUUUUUUAAUCUUAAACUUUUAAUCUUUAUAUGGUAUUUCUAUAUGAUAGUUAACAUCAAUAUAUGAAUAUGAAUUUUAACAUCAACCAUACAAACAAACAAACAAACAACAACAGCAGCAGCAGCAAUAAUAAUAAUAAUAAUAAUAAUAAUAAUAAUAAUAAUAAUAAUAA